rnacentral:rRNA from 1 species
UAGGGAAUCUUCCGCAAUGGACGAAAGUCUGACGGAGCAACGCCGCGUGAACGAUGAAGGCCUUCGGGUCGUAAAGUUCUGUUGUUAGGGAAGCGGUACCUAACGAGAAAGCCACGGCUAACUACGUGCCAGCAGCCGCGGUAAUACGUAGGUGGCAAGCGUUGUCCGGAAUUAUUGGGCGUAAAGCGCGCGCAGGCGGUCUCUUAAGUCUGAUGUGAAAGCCCACGCUCAACCGUGGAGGGCCAUUGGAAACUGGGAGACUUGAGUGCAGAAGAGGAGAGUGGAAUUCCAUGUGUAGCGGUGAAAUGCGUAGAUAUAUGGAGGAGCACCAGUGGCGAAGGCGACUCUCUGGUUGUAACUGACGCUGAGGCGCGAAAGGUGGGGAGCAAACAGGAUUAGAUACCCCGGUAGU